GAUGAACGCUAGCGGCAGGCUUAAUACAUGCAAGUCGAGGGGCAGCAGUUUUGUAGCAAUACAGAAGCUGGCGACCGGCAAACGGGUGCGGAACACGUACGCAACCUUCCUUUAACUGGGAGAUAGCCCACCGAAAGGUGGAUUAAUAUCCCAUAAUAUAACUGAAUGGCAUCAUUUAGAUAUUAAAGCUACGGCGGUUAAAGAUGGGCGUGCGUCUGAUUAGGUAGUUGGCGGGGUAAAGGCCCACCAAGCCUUCGAUCAGUAGCUGAUGUGAGAGAAUGAUGAGCCACAAGGGCACGUAUACACGGGCCCGACUCCUACGGGAGGCAGCAGUAAGGAAUAUUGGUCAAUGGACGCAAGUCUGAACCAGCCAUGCCGCGUGGAGGAUGAAGGCCCUCUGGGUUGUAAACUUCUUUUCUUUGGGACGAAACCCCUGUUUCUACGGGGACUGACGGUACCAGAGGAAUAAGCACCGGCUAACUCCGUGCCAGCAGCCGCGGUAA
rnacentral:rRNA from 1 species